rnacentral:rRNA from 1 species
UUGAACGCUGGCGGCAGGCCUAACACAUGCAAGUCGAGCGGAUGAAGGGAGCUUGCUCCUGGAUUCAGCGGCGGACGGGUGAGUAAUGCCUAGGAAUCUGCCUGGUAGUGGGGGAUAACGUCCGGAAACGGGCGCUAAUACCGCAUACGUCCUGAGGGAGAAAGUGGGGGAUCUUCGGACCUCACGCUAUCAGAUGAGCCUAGGUCGGAUUAGCUAGUUGGUGGGGUAAAGGCCUACCAAGGCGACGAUCCGUAACUGGUCUGAGAGGAUGAUCAGUCACACUGGAACUGAGACACGGUCCAGACUCCUACGGGAGGCAGCAGUGGGGAAUAUUGGACAAUGGGCGAAAGCCUGAUCCAGCUAUGCCGCGUGUGUGAAGAAGGUCUUCGGAUUGUAAAGCACUUUAAGUUGGGAGGAAGGGCAGUAAGUUAAUACCUUGCUGUUUUGACGUUACCAACAGAAUAAGCACCGGCUAACUUCGUG